GACGAACGCUGGCGGCGUGCUUAACACAUGCAAGUCGAACGGAAAGGCCCUGCUUUUGUGGGGUGCUCGAGUGGCGAACGGGUGAGUAACACGUGAGUAACCUGCCCUUGACUUUGGGAUAACUUCAGGAAACUGGGGCUAAUACCGGAUAGGAGCUCCUGCUGCAUGGUGGGGGUUGGAAAGUUUCGGCGGUUGGGGAUGGACUCGCGGCUUAUCAGCUUGUUGGUGGGGUAGUGGCUUACCAAGGCUUUGACGGGUAGCCGGCCUGAGAGGGUGACCGGCCACAUUGGGACUGGGAUACGGCCCAGACGCCUACGGGAGGCAGCAGUGGGGAAUAUUGCACAAUGGGCGGAAGCCUGAUGCAGCAACGCCGCGUGCGGGAUGACGGCCUUCGGGUUGUAAACCGCUUUCGCCUGUGACGAAGCGUGAGUGACGGUAAUGGGGAAAGAAGCACCGGCUAACUACGU
rnacentral:rRNA from 1 species